rnacentral:lncRNA from 1 species
AAUCCCAAUCCCACAUUGUCUGUAGAAGUAUUUACUUUUGACUGUACACUUUGUUAUUUUCCAAUCCCUCCCCAGUUCUGCAACCAUUUCUCUACUUUCUAUGCUCUUGGCUUGCUAAAAACUAAAGAAAACACAUUGCUCUAGUUGCCUGCCUUCACUCUUCAGAUUGCUCAACAAAUCCCUUGAGACCUUCUCCAUAGUUAACACAUCACAUAAUGGCUACUCUAAAAAAUUUAGCCAUAAACAUUGAACACCUUAAGCAAUCAACGUGCCUUCCUUCACAAUAUGCAUCACCCAUAAAUCUUUCUUUUGGGAUGUCGCCGGGAGUUUAAAUUUCCGAGUGUAAAAAUUACUCAAUGAAAAAGCGAGCACUAACGCACCUUCUCCACAAACUACCAUAAAUAUAUAAAUAUAUUAUGAAAACAAGAUAAAAAGAAAUCUUUCGGUACAUCUAUAUAUAUAUAUUAUGGCUAUGAAAAUAGGUUUGUGGAAAUUUACAUCAUUUGAUCUUGACAGUGUCAGAUUAGACAAUUGCAUGGAAAUGGUCUUCUUAGUUUGCCGUGUGGAAAAUCAUGUCAUUUACGGGGCUGCUGGAGAGAGUGUCUAUUGAUAAUUUUAUCUUAUUUGCAUUGACCGGUAAUUUCACUCGAAAAUUUCUAGUAAUUUAAAAGCAAAUUUCUACUGACUAUUAUUGACUGGCUUCUUGCAAAGUAUUUGUAAGAAAGCUAAAGAAUUAAAGUUUUUUAAUUUUUAAAAUUGUAAGAAAAAAAUCAAUUAUUUUUAAAAUUGUUUUCAAAAAUAAAACACCAACUAUUUAUAUAAUAGCUAAAUCUAUUAAGAUAAAUCCAAAAUAACUAGUAAAAUCAGUGACUUGCAUUGACGGUGUAAUGAUCUGGAACCACUCGCAAUAAAUAAAGCCAAAAAAGGCAGACGAGUGUGUCUAUAUAUACAUAUAGGAACCGCUGAUUCGAUUUGAAUAUGUUAUUUGAUUAGUCUAAUUCAUGACUUGCAUUGACUCAAGAUUACCACUCAAGAUUUCGUGGUGCUUUCUCGGCCUGCAAAUGAAUAGAAAGCAUGUCGUUUUAACCUCAUUUCAAUAUCCUUGCUUUACUCUCCAGCUAGCCUGAUACAUAUGAGUCUCAAGACAUACGGCCAUUGAUAGAAAGGAGUGCUGAAGCAAAAUAUUUUUUUAUCUGUAGCGACCUCAAUAAUGUUAAAGCGUGGACCACCAUGAAAUUACCGCUCCAAAUUCCUUGUUCUUUCUAUAUUAUUAGAAAAAUUAUCAUUGACUAAUUUAAUUGGAAAUUAUUUGCGAGAAAGCUAAAAAGAAUUAAAGUUUUUUAAUUUAUAAAAUUAUAAUUUUAAAUUGUAAAAAAAUUCAAUUAUUUUAAAAAAUAAAACAUCAACUAUUUAUAUAAUAGCUAAAUAAAUCUAUUAAAAUAAAUUGAGAAUAACUAGUAAAAUCAAGCAAAUAAUCCAAAAAUAACAAGAAAAUAAAUAUAUUUCCUAGAUCUAAUUUGAUUAUAUUUAUUAUCUUGAUUGACUUACUUGUUAAGUCUUCGCUAAGCAUAAAUGAACUUUAAUCUAAGAAUCUGUUUUAUAUUUCUUCAUUUAUUAAUGAAAUAUUACUUCUACUGUAUAGUUUUUGGUUCCGAGUUGAUCCACCAGAUUAAUAGGUGAACAAUAUAUUUUGUCUCCACAGGUUAUAACAUCAUUUCAAUAUCUUUAAACAAAAUCUUUGUUAAACUGCACCAUUGGUAAUUGAUUAUGCCUUAAUUUCUGCAGCUGCCAGGACAGAGCCAGAGUCUUCUCGAUCUAGACCAGAAGGGGCCUAUGAUGUCUUCUUGAGUUUUAGAGGAGAAGACACUCGCAAGACAUUUACAGAUCAUCUCUACACUGCCUUAGUCCAAGCAGGAAUCCACACUUUUCGAGAUGAUGAUGAACUUCCGAGAGGAGAAGAAAUCUCCGAUCAUCUCCUCAGGGCAAUUCAAGAAUCAAAGAUAUCCAUAGUUGUCUUCUCAAAGGAUAUGCUUCUUCUAGAUGGUGUCUCAAUGAACUUGUAGAGAUUCUUAAGUGCGAAAAUAGGAAAACCGGUCAGAUUGUUCUUCCUAUAUUCUAUGACAUUGAUCCUUCAUAUGUCAGAAAACAGAAUGGCAGUUUUGCAGAAGCAUUUGUUAACCAUGAAGAGCGUUUUGAAGAGAAGUUGGUGAAGGAGUGGAGAAAAGCUCUUGAGGAGGCUGGAAAUCUAUCUGGAUGGAAUCUCAAUGAUAUGGCAAAUGGGUAUGCCUUUUCUCUCUAAAAUUCACUUGCAGACGUUUAUGGAGUAAUUCUACAUUACAUUUUUCAAUGUGAAGUAAUAAAAUAUUUCUUUUUAGCAUACUUAAUUGACUUGCUAUCGAUGACUUGCUUUUUUUCUGUGAGCAGGCAUGAAGCAAAAUUUAUCAAAGGGAUUAUCAAUGAUGUGUUGAAUAAAUUACGUCGCGAGUGCUUAUAUGUUCCUGAGCAUCUGGUAGGUAUGGAUCUUGCUCACGAUAUUUAUGACUUUCUAAGUACUGCAACAGAUGAUGUACGCAUUGUGGGCAUACAUGGGAUGCCAGGAAUAGGAAAGACGACUCUAGCAAAAGUUGUAUUUAAUCAACUCUGCUAUAGAUUCGAGGGAAGCUGCUUUCUUUCGAAUAUCAAUGAAAGUUCAAAACAAGUUAAUGGUCUUGUUCCUUUACAAAAGCAACUUCUUCAUGAUAUUUCAAAACAAGAUGUUGCUAACAUCAAUUGUGUCGAUAGAGGAAAGGUUAUGAUCAAAGAUCGACUUUGUCGCAAAAGAGUUCUUGUUGUUGCUGAUGAUGUGGCUCAUCUGGAACAGCAGAAUGCAUUGAUGGGAGAGCGAAGUUGGUUUGGUCCCGGAAGUAGAGUAAUCAUUACAACAAGAGAUUCAAAUCUUCUUCGUGAAGCAGAUCGAACAUAUCAGAUCGAAGAAUUGAAACCACAUGAGUCCCUUCAGCUUUUCAGCAGGCAUGCCUUUAAGGACUCCAAGCCAGCACAAGAUUAUAUUGAGCUUUCGAAGAAAGCCGCUGGUUACUGUGGAGGACUUCCUUCAGCUCUUGAGGUUACAGGAGCUCUUCUGUACAGGAAAAACAGAGGUAGAUGGGAAAGUGAAAUGGACAACUUGAGCAGAAUUCCAAACCAAGAUAUUCAAGGAAAGCUUCUAAUAAGUUAUCACGCACUUGAUGGUGAACUACAAAGGGCAUUCCUUGAUAUUGCAUGCUUCUUUAUUGGUAUAGAGAAAGAAUACGUCGCAAAAGUGCUAGGAGCCCGUUGCCGUCCCAAUCCAGAAGUUGUUUUGGAAACUCUCAGUGAAAGGUCUCUGAUUAAAAUAUUGGGAGAGACGGUAACCAUGCAUGAUCUAUUACGAGAGAUGGGAAGGGAGGUCGUUUGUAAAGCGUCCCCAAAAGAACCUGGAAAGAGGACCAGAAUUUGGAAUCAAAAGGAUGCAUGGAAUGUACUUCAACAGCAGAAGGUACGAGCUCAAUGCAUACAUGAAAGCGUAGUCAUGUGUAUUUUCUCAAUGCAAACAUGAAAGCAUAGUCAUGCGUAUUUUCUUGUCAAACUUAUUACAAAUAAUUGAAUGAAAGUUGUAUUGAUUUUUUUUUUAGGGUACGGAUGUUGUAGAGGGUCUUGCACUGGAUGUCAGAGCAUCAGAAGCUAAAUCACUUAGCGCAGGAUCAUUAGAAAAAAUGAAAUGCUUAAAUUUACUCCAAAUCAACGGAGCACAUCUCACCGGAUCCUUCAAACUGCUUUCUAAAGAGUUGAUGUGGAUUUGUUGGCAUGAAUGUCCUUUGAAAUAUUUUCCAUCUGAUUUUACCUUGGACAAUCUAGCUGUUCUUGAUAUGCAGUACAGUAACCUCAAAGAACUAUGGAAGGGAAAAAAGGUGCGAAACAUGCUGGAAUCCCCAAAAUUUCUCCAGCAUGUAAUUUAUAUUUACAUGUUAUGACUUUCUAUGAUUAAUUGUCAUUAUUUUACUCUCUCUUAUGACAGAUUCUCGACAAGCUAAAAAUCCUUAAUCUCAGUUAUUCUCAUCACCUUAUUAAAUCACCAAAGUUGCACAGUUCAAUUCUAGAGAAACUAAUUCUGAAAGGUUGCUCAAGUUUAGUUGAGGUGCAUCAAUCAAUUGGACAUUCGACGAGCCUCGUUUUCUUGAAUCUCGAGGGAUGUUGGAGUCUGAAGACUCUCCCUGAAAGCAUUGGUAAUGUAAAGUCUCUUGAAACUAUGAAUAUUUGUGGGUGUUCACAACUUGAGAAAUUGCCAGAAGGCAUGGGUGAUAUGAAAUUCUUAACUGAGCUGCUAGCCGAUGAGAUUAAAACUGAGCAAUUUCUCUCUUCAAUUGGGCAAUUAAAGUAUAUCAAAAGGUUAUCAUUGCGUGUUUCAAAUUUGAAAUGUUGGCUGCCAACAUCUUUCACUGAAUGGAGAUUAGUGAAAUAUCUUAAGCUUUACUGUGUUGAUUUUAGAGGUAUGUUCUCUCUAAAAGUAUUGGAUCUAAGAGGAAACAAAUUCUCUAGCCUGCCUUCUGGGAUCGGCUUCCUUCCCAAGCUAUCGUACUUGGUUGUUAAGACAUGUGAAUAUCUUGUAUCAAUCCUAGAUCUUCCCUCAAGUUUAUGCCUUUUGGAUGCAUCUUAUUGCAAAUCAUUGGAAAGAGUAAGAAUACCAAUCGAGGCAAAAAAAGAACUAUGUGUAAAUAUAUAUAUGAAAGUCUUUCGGUAGAAGAGAUUCAGGGCAUCGAAGGUUUAAAUAAUAGUUUCUGGUAUGUUAGUGUUACAUCACCAAAUAAAUUACAGAAGAGCAGUCAUUCACCAAAUAAAUCACAGAAGAGCGUUGUUGAGGUACUAUUUCUUUUAGUCUCUCUUGCACAAGAAGAAACACACACAAUUGGCACAUACAUUGAUUAAUGUCUAAAAUCGCAGCAUUCCUUGAAAUUAAUAUGUAUACAUACAAUUAUUAUUUUAAUUUAAAAAAUAAAUAUCAUCUUUAAUAAUAUUUUCUUAUUUUUCUUAUUUAAUCUAAAAAAUUAAAUAUUAUCUUUAAUAAUAUUUUUUAUAAAAUAUUUAAAGUCUUUGGUUUUCUUUUUUAUUUCUUGAUUUUAUGAUAAUAUAUUUAUACAGGCAAUGUGCAACCGUGGUCACGGGUAUCGUAUUAGCUUCAUUGUUGAUGAUCUACUUGAGAUGCCAGAUUGGAUGAGCUACAGGGCAGAAGGAUGCGCAUUGUCAUUCCAUAUACCUCCAGUCUUCCAUGGCUUAGUUCUUUUGUUUGAGAAGAGUACUCAUCUUUACACAGUCACUAACAUUAUUAUUAUUAUAAGAAAUAAAAGCAACGGAAGAAUAUUGUUUAAAGAUAAACGAGCACAGAUAGGAAUACAUAUAUUUAUGCAGGGAUGGUUAAGAUACAUAAGUAGAAGUGAAAUGGCAAUGGAAGAUUACUGUGGAGAUGACGAAUUGGAACUAUACAUAUAUUCACAGCAAUCAGAGUAUGCAACGGUCAUUCAUUCGAACCCGUACACGUUAAAGAAUGUGGGGUCCAUGUGAUCGCAGAGAAGUUAGAUUCAUUUGAAGAGUCGGCAGUGGGAAGAGAUACAGUGAUGCCUUCACCACCGCUGUAUCAUCUGCUUCCUCAUCCUCAUCGUGGUUCAAUUACAACGUCUACACCUAAGCAAUGGUGUGACUUUUUACUUGCGGAGCUGCAAAACCAUAACCUCAGUUUAUUGCUUCUUGGUAAGAACAAAUAUUUCCUUUAGUUAUUUUUAUUCUAUUCUAUUUAAUUUAUGAGAUUAAAUAUUAUCUUUAAUUAUUUCAUUAUUACUAUUUAAUAUAAAAAAUUAAAUAUCAUUUUUAAUAAUAAAAAAUUAAAUAUUUAAGGCUUUUUGGUAAGAAUACAUAUUUCCUUUAGUUAUUUCUAUUUUAUUCUAUUUAAUUUAAGAGAUUAAAUAUCAUCUUUAAUUAUUACAUUUUUCUUAUUUUUUAUUUUUUGAUUUUAUGAUAAUAUUUUUCUUGAUUAAUAUAAAAAAUAAAUAUUAUCUUUAAUAAUUAGAUCUAUCGAAUAUCACUCAAAAAAAUAAAUUAUAUCUUUAAUAAUUAUUUUUUGAAAAACAAAAAGCCAACAAUCACUAACAUAUUUUAUUAAAAUCACUUUAGUUUAUUUAGGAAAUAUUGAAAACUGAUUUUUGUUUUUUUACAUUUAAAUAAAAAAUUGAAUAAUGUUUUUAUAUUUUAUUUCAAAUUAAAUAUUUUAAAACAAAAAUAAAAACAAAAUGAUAUUAACCUUUUUUAUUAUAAAGUAAGUUUCUUAAUUAAAAGUGAAGGGGAUUUGUUUGUAAUAACAAAAUGCAUAUAUAAUCAUGCACGGUUAACUUUAUUUCCAAACUUGAAAGUUCUACUGAAUUUGAUGGUUUUAUAGGUAAGAAGGAGCUGGAUGGAUGAGUUAUUUUACAUAGAGAUGCUUGAAGUUACUUCAAAUUAGUACGGUAUUUCUAUCUGAUGUAUUGAUAUGUAUUUGUUGGCUUGAAGAUCAUUUUCCAAGUUUGGAAGUUUUAUUGAAUGCUCUUUGAAAUCUUUUCCAUUCGCUUUUAUAAUUGUGUAGGUUUCAAUUAAAAGGGAUUGAAUUAAGGAAGUAUGUUAAAAAAUAAUAUAAAUUAUAUUUUAAAAUUUAUUUUAAUAGUUUAAAUUUUUAGAUGGAUAGUUUUUUUGACAGGUAAAAGAUAUAGUUUUACAAUAAAAUAUAUUUUUUGAAAUGAAAUUAUAUUAAAUUAAGCAUGCUCGAGAUUGUUCAAAUUAUUAAUUAAUUAUAAUUAACUUUAUGUCUUUAGAGGAAACAGAAGGGAAGGACAAGAUUAUCUUCCCCACACCAAUAGACCUAGCCCACUUUCCAAACCAGUCCCCUGGUAAAUAGAAUGAUGGUCCCAUAUUUUUCUUUCCAGCCCGUCAAGCAGUUUUAUCUCCCUCACUGGACCACUUUAGAAUGGGAAUCACACUAGGAAAUUUAAAAGUAGUUUGAAGUAUCAUUAAACCUGAUAAAAAUAAACAACCAAUAAUAAUAUGGUUGGGAUUUAAAAAAAAAUUGAUAAAAAAACUAAAAUAAAACAAAUUAAAAUAAACAAAAAACUUGAAAAAAAUUAAUUCAACCCUUUCUUCGUAAAAAAGAGAAGUAAUUGGGUAUUAAUUUACGGUCAAAAGAGUACAAUAAUGCAAAGAAAAAAAAGAGUAUGAGGGUAUUGAUUUUAUUAUUUGUUAGGUAACUAUGGAAUCUAAUCUGUUGAUGUGGAAAAUAGCACAAAUUAAGUUUUUGGCAUGGCCAUUGGUGAGAAGCAAAAGCAGUAGCAGUCCAUCAGGACCAUCACCAUCCUAUCGCCGACAUUCCAAGUGUGAAAGUGUAUUAUUGUCAUAAAGUUUUUCAAACGAAACAAUACGAUAAAUUUAAACUAUAGAGAGAUAAUUAAAUAAAUAAGUAGAAAGCGCAAAAGAAACAAUACGAUAAAUUUAAACUAUACUAAAGGUCAGUUUUUCACUCUGUGUGAAUCUACCGUGAAAGCUUGAUUUUGCACAUGGUAGAUAAAUUUAGGUUUAGGAGUAUAAUUUUUUAUAUAUAAUUACACUAAAGAAGAAUAUUAAUCAAAUAACCCUUAAAAAAAUUCCUUUUAGUUUAGGGUUUAUUUUUUUUCAUCUCAAUUACUUAAAUAUCCCUAAAAAAUAAACUCUCUUUACUAUGGAUGCAAGGUUAUUUUAGAUUUUCUGCUAUUUUUUUUUUAAAAAAUUCUCAUGUAAGAUUAGAGGUGAUUUGGUAUUUUAAUAUAUAAAUUAAUAUUAAAAUUCAAAAGCAGUUGGUGUCUCCCACACCUUUUGGAUGGCGCCUACGACUUCCACACAAAACCGAAUGUUACCGUCUAAGGCAGCGUUUGAUGCGUUUCACCACCGUUGUCACGGUGGUGGCACACGUGUUCUCUGAUGGCAUGUAGAGGAGCACGCGGAGGAGCUCCUUUCUCUUUUUCCUCUCUCGACCUAGAAAAUCAUGUUGACCAUUGAAAAAAAAAAAAACAAAGAAAGUCUAACUAUUUAUUUGUUAAGUUAAAUUAGGUCCUUAUUCUUUUGAUAACAAUGCAUUUGGUCUUGAGCUAUUUAUUAAGUUAGUUGUUUUUUCAUUUUCAUUAAUUUACACUUUGUUUUUAUAUUAGAUUUAAUCCUUAUUCUUUUAACUGUGAUGUUUUUUGUUGUCUUAAUUCCUUUAUUGAAUUAAAUUGUCUUUGAAUUUUAUCUCUUGAUAUUUUAUUUUUAUAUCAAAUAUGAUCCUUAUUUUUUUAUUGUUAUUUUUAGUUAUUUUUAUUAUUUUCUUAAUUGAAAUUGUUUUUUAAUUUCAUCCCUUAUGAUUUGGUUUUAUUUACUUUAUGUAUCAAAUUUGGUUCUCUUUCUUUUCAAAUCUACAUCUUUAAAAAUAAAAUUUAAUUUUUUUCAAGUUUAUCCCUAAUUAUUUUGGUUGGUUUAGAUUUUAUAUUGUUAUUUUUUAUUUUUCUUUUACAUUGUGAUAUAGCCUUAUGAUUGUGUCACAAAUUCUAAAAGUUGGACAGGGAUGACUUCAAUUAUUUUUAGAAAUUUUCAUUCUUCAAUUCAAUUAUAUAUAUAUAUAAAAGGUUUGACGCUUAAUAUAUUUUUGUAUUGAUUUUAUCAUUUUAUAAUUUGAUUUAUAAUGCAGUCCUAUUAUAUAUGGACCAGGACAACAAUAUCAUUCAAAUGUUAGUAAUAGAAUAACUUUUACAUAUUUUAAUAUUUAAAAAUUAAAAAAAUACAGUGUAACUGUUUUGUAUAAAUUCUAAAAGUAAGGACUCAUUUGUGCUUGGUAAAAUACCUCACAAUAAAGUUAAUAAAUAAUAACACAAGAAAAGAACAAAAGUUAAUAAAUAAUAUAUAGCAUGUCUUACACUGCUUUAAUAGAUUAUUCCAGUAAGAGCACAGAGAGAAGAGCGGUUCAAGACAGAACAAUGAUGUAUAAAUUAAAAAAAUAUAAUCUCUUAUAGGAAUCUCUUUAUUAAAUAAUCAAAAUAUUAAAGUCUAUUUCCAAAGACUAUUACUACAGUUUUUAUAUAUAUAAAAAUAGAAACAACUAAAUAGAGAAAUUAUUAUUUUUUAAAUUGAAAAAGUUGAAAAGCUUGAUAAUAUUGAGUAAGAAAUAAAAUAUAAAAAUAAUUCCUUUUAAAUAAACAAAUAUAAAAGUUUAAUAGUACUGAAUAGAAAAAAAAAUAGAAUUUCUAAACUAAAUAAAAGUAACUGAAAAAAGUAUUUAUUAUUCCAAAAAAAUUGAUGUUAAAAUCUCAUUUAUCAUAUUUUAUAUCUAUAAAAAGCUAAUUUGUCAUAUGGAAUAAGUCUAUAUGCUAAAAUCAGAAAAAACAAAUGUAACAAAAAAAAAUUCCACCAAAGGCUGUGAUUAGCAGAUUAUCUGAUGGAAAGAUGAUGAACAUUUUUUAGUCAAUUAAGUUCAUUUCACAUGAUUUUUUUAUUCUUGUCAAUUAAUCUUAAAGCAAGAUUCCAAGAUAAGCCUAAAAAAUAUUUAUUAUUAAUCAACAAUAUGGAAUAAUAACUUGUUUUCUAAUAUAAAUUAUAAUUUGAAAUAAAAUUGAUAAAAGAGUAAGGCGCAUUUUGUAUACAAAAUUAAUGACGGAAUCGUAUAUUUUAAGACUAAAUUAAAGUUUUUCAAUUACAUUUAAACAUAUUAUGGUUUUAAUAAACGUACGAUGCAUCCUUUGAUUUUAUUACAGGGAACGUGAAAUAUUGUAAAUUAUGGAGGGGAAUCAAAAUAUUUGUUAGCAGUAACCUCAGUAAUGUUUAAAAAAAAUUGUUGUGGAAACUUUGCAAAGGAUCUGAAGGAAGAAAAAUGAUUGAAUUGAUAAUAAUUUGCAAGAGAGAAUUCUUUCACUGAAUAGAAAAAAAAAUAUUAUUUUUAAAAUAAAAACAAUAAAUAUAAAAAUUAUUAUUUUUUAAAUAGAGAAACUAGAAAGUCCUGAUAAUAUUAAAUAAAAAAUAAAUACAAAAAUUAUUCUUUUCAAGUAGAAAAAAUUAUAAAAGUUUAAUAAUACUGAAUAGAAAUAAAUAAAAUUUCUAAACUAAAUAAAAAUAUUUAUUAUCCCAAAAAUUCUUAUAUCAAAAUCUCAUUUAUCAUAUUUUGUAUCUAUAAAAAACUAAUUUGUCAUAUGUACUGGGUCCAUAUGCUAAAACCAGAAAAAAAAAUGUAACAAAAAAAAAAUUCCACACAAGGCUGUGAUUAAGAGAUUAACAAGAUGAUAGAUAUUUUUUAGUAAAAUGAAUUCCAAUUCAAAAUAGCAAAAUAAGGUUUUUUGAGGCUUUUCUAGUAUAUAAAAAAAUCAAAUUAUACAAGAUUUAUUAUUAAUCUUUGAUAUUUAUUAUUGAUCAUCAAUAAUCAAUAUUAAAUGAUGACUUAUUUUCUAGUAUAAACUAUGUUUGAAAUAAAAUUGAUAAAACACAUUAUAUAUAAUUAAUGAUGGGAUCGUAUAUAAAAAUAAUUAAAUUGAGAUUUUUCAAUUACCUUUAAAUAUAUCAUAGUUUUAAUCGGUGGUGGACGAUAUAACAUAUGUAAAUUAUAAAACAAGCAUUUAUUUUUCUGAUAUAUACAUAAUUGUCGCACCCGGACAUCGCGGCGACCUUAAAAAUAAUAUUUCAUGGAAAAGAACAGAUUUCUGGCAUCCUGUUCUUUAAUGGAGAAUGGUCUCGUUUAAGGAGUCGCCACCUAGUAUUAUGGUCACUAGGAACCCUAACUGGUCAACAGAGAUUCUAUGGUACGGGACUGGUUACGUAAAAGAGAAGAUAUUAUCACCCCUUAAACGUUCUGCCUGAGGCAGACUGCAUUGCUGGUUUUGUCUUAAAUUGCUAAAUGUUUAUUAGUUUACGCUAUGAUAAUUUGCUUAUAAUAUUCCUGACUCUGGCGUCAGUGAAUAUUCAACUACGAAUAUCUCCAACUCUGGCGUUGGUAAAUAUUACGUAGUUAUAAAAUAAAUUAGAUCAAUAUUUUUUUAUUACCUACUCUAGCAGUGAAUAAAUAAAUAAAAAUAAAUUUAUUUUUAAACAUGCACAUAUUUUUUUAUUUUUCUAGCUAAAUAAAAUAAAUAUAACGAAUAAAAAUAAUAUAAAUUUAAACCGGUAUUUUUAUUCCUGACUCUGGCAUCAGUGAAUAAACCAAUAAAUUUACAUUAUUUUUAUUUAUGCAUACACAUUUUUAUUUUUAUUUUUUUCUAAUAAUGAAUAAAAAUAAUAUAAAUUUAAACCGAUAUUUUUAUUCCUGACUCUGGAGUCAGUGAAUAAACCAAUAAAUUACAUUUUUUUUAUUUUUUUCCUAGGACUAUUUUUCCUACAUUUUUUUAUAUUUUUUUAUUUUUUUCCUAGGACUAAGCUUCACACGUGUAUGCAAAAGUAGUGAAUUAAAUUGGCCUAUGUACAGUACCCAUGCAAUUAGAAUUGCAAAGCAAAGGGAAAUGAAGAACUUACCUGUGCAGGAGGCGAAGUCGAAGACGGUGGCGAAGGUGUGCUGAAUUGCCAAAGCUACCUUCUCUCCUUCUCUGUUUUUAUUCUUCGUGCGCUUCUCCUCUGGUUUUGCUUUUCUUUACUUUGAUUGCUUCUCUUAUUCUUCCUGUCUCCCCCCCUGUGUUUGCUUGUUCUCAGUUCGCUUGUGUUUUCUUUUUUUAUCUGUUGUUCAGGGAAUGGAGGAGCUGGUGUAAGUGGAGACAAAGCAGCUGAUGCCUGAGAGGGCGUUGUACUGCUGCUGGAGCUGGAAGAGGCGCGCGUUGCUGGUUGCUGAUGCAUGCUCACGGUGCAUGGAAGUGGCUGAGUUGCUACUAAUCUUGACGAUACUGGUUUCGUCCGCUGUAAAAGUUUUCGUGCCCCUGCAUCCGAUCAAAGCUUGUGCUUUUCCAAGCAAAAGCCAUGGUCCCUUGAAACUCAGCAGAUUUUCGGAGCAAGGAGGAUCGCAUGCCAAUGUAGUUCAUGGUUCUGGUUUAGAGGCAGACGUGGCGGAGAUUAAUGGUGAUUGGGACCACAGCCUAGAAGGUGACCGGGAGGAAGAUGAUCUCGAGCCUUUAUUUGCUUCUUCUUUUUUUGUGAGGAGUUUGCAGAUCCCGGGGGUUGAGAAUGAAGAAUGAAAAAUCAGUUUGAUGGGGAAGAGAUUGAGGCCAGGCAAGAAGGGAGGAAAAGUCUGGGGGGAGGGGGCAGCGGCGGCUAGUCUAGGACUCGGCCGCGCCCCUUUUUUUUUUUGUAAAUGUCUUUUGUUUCUUUUUUUUUAUAUAGGUUUCUGGUAAUGAUCUUCUCCUGGGUUUUUUUUUUGUGUCGUUUAAGGUUCCUCUCUAAUCGUCUUCCUCUCCCCUCCGUUUUUCAUACCCUGAGAUCUGUAUUUAUAGUGCCAGAGUCCCUUCGCUUGUGAGAAACCAAGUUUCAAUCAAACUCAUUCUAUUUUUUGAAGUUUGAAUUUGAUUAAGAAUCAAAUUUGAAAGCGGAUAACUAUCAUUAUCUUAAAGACAAGGAUUAUCUCGAAGAUAAAGAUUAUCUUGAAGAUAGGGAUUAUCUUGAAGAUAAAGAUAGAAUGAUAAAAGCACAUUGUAGUCCUUAAUUUUCACGGAAGUUGACAAAUCACACUUUUCAUCGAAAUAAAUCUCUGAUCUUUUAAUUUUUCAUUUUAAACCCUGUAAAAAUUAAAUUAAAAGUCAAAGGGCCAAAAUUGGGUCAUGACAGUUGCCCCCUCUUUACAAUGCUUACGGUGCAAAUGCAUUAGAAAAUUUAUUUUCUUUUGACUUUGUAUAGUAAGUUUUGUAAAGAAAAAUAAUUGUGAAAGCCCUUCCUCUUUUCCUCCUUUUUUUUUUCUUCUCUUUUUUUUGAUUGAUUUUUUUGCUUUUUUUUUUUAAAUGGUCUAAUUGUUCCAGGCGACCUGCCUGAUAAAGAAUAAAAUGCGAAAAGGGUUUCGCGAGUGGUCUAAUUGUUCCAGGCGACCUGCCCGAUGAUUGAAAAAUACGAGGAUUUUUUUUUGUGAUGGUAUAUUGUAAUGGGUUACCGGCCCAGAUGGUCACAUUGUAAUGGGUUACCUGCCCAGUAUAGGAUGGUAUAUUGUAAUGGGUUACCGGCCCAAAUGGUCACAUUGUAAUUGGUUACCUGCCUAGUAUAGGAUGGUAUAUUGUAAUGGGUUACCAACUCAGAUGGUCACAUUGUAAUGGGUUACCUGCCCAGUAUAGGAUGGUAUAUUGUAAUGGGUUACCGACCCAAGUGGUCACAUUGUAAUGGGUUACCUGCCUAGUAUAGGAUGGUAUAUUGUAAUGGGUUACCGACCCAGAUGGUCACAUUGUAAUGGGUUACCUGCCCAGUUGGUCACAUUGUAAUGGGUUACCUGCCCAGUGGAUGGUAUAUUGUAAUGGGUUACCGACCCAGAUGGUCACAUUGUAAUGGGUUACCUGCCCAGUGGAUGGUAUAUUGUAAUGGGUUACCGACCCAGAUGGUCACAUUGUAAUGGGUUACCGGCCUAGUUGGUCACAUUGUAAUGGGUUACCUGCCCAGUGGAAAAAUACGAGGAUUUUUCAGAUGGUCACAUUGUAAUGGGUUACCUGCCCAGAUGGUCACAUUGUAAUGGGUUACCGGCCCAGUUGGUCACAUUGUAAUGGGUUACCUGCUUAGUGGAAAAAUACGAGGAUUUUUUUUUAAGACAUGAUAGGGCUCGAAGGCGCAUUAUUCAAUAGAUGGAAGCUCGAGGGAAAUGAGGGCUUGAAGGCGCCCUCAAAAGAAGGUAGGAUAGGAAAUGCACUACCUUUGAUGGUCGAGGGCUCGAAGGAGCGCUCGAAUGGAGGUAGGAUAGGAAAUGCACUACCUUUGAUGGUCGAGGGCUCGAAGGCGUGCUCGAAAAGAAAUAAGAUGAGGGCUCGAAGACGCGCUCGAAAGGAGGUAGGAUAGGAAAUGCACUACCUCAGGAGUGGAAACUGAAAGGUGGUGGGAAAAUAGAGAGAUUUUUUCAGGUGGCCUAAUUCUCAUGGGCGGCUUGCCCAGGUUGAAAAAUUCUCAAAAGUGAAAAUUUUUUCAAAAGCAAUUUCAAUGUUCGCCAUUUCAAGUUGGCCUUCCGCUUGAUGGAUUCCGUCAGAAUUUUUUUCUAAUAAAAUUUGCAAAACUCAUUGUCCAAUGUCUCAAAGUUUAAAUGAUAUGCAUGCAUCUUUACCUGAUUUGAAAUAUAGGCCCCCCAUUUCUUCUUAGUCUUCUCGUGGCUUGGUUGGUGAGAUCUUGCUAUCUGAUUUGAGUCAUCUUUGUCGUUUGGCUUUCUAGCCCACUCGAGUUAGCCCAUAUAAGACUUUUUCCAGAUUUGUUUGCACAACUCAGCCUUUGUGGUGCCCAUCGUGACCCACUUGCUUGCUAGAGAUUUUCUGUCUCGUCAAAUAGUUUGAGGGGAUCAUUCAUUACUCCUCGUCUCACUGAUAAAAAUAUUUGGUGUCACUUGCUGAAAGGAUCAAACUGUCUUUCGUAAACCAAAAUGCCCCCUUGUCUUGUUGUAGGAAAUGUUCCUUCUUUUUUUUUAGAACAGAUAGAUUUUUCUUAAGCACAAUAUUGCCCCCUUGUACUAGUCAUUGCCCCCAAGUGUGCCCUGUCAGCGACUUAGACAAAUAAUGGUUUUAAGAGACCAUUCUCUCAUUUCUCUCCUUUUCAGUUUGGUGAAGGAAUAUGGGUUUAGAAUGAAUCUUGAAAUCUUGAUCUUGCAUUUUGAAAACAAAAAAUUAUUUCGAUGUGAGUCUAAAACAAUUUGCUUUUGAAAUCUUGCAACUCCUUGGUUAUUUUCUUUCUUGGAAAAGAGAUUAUUUGCUCUUGUGUUUGGCAAUGAGAUCUUUGAUGAAAAUACGUCAUGAGAUGACCUUUUGUUUUUAUAGGUUUUUAAAGUGGAGGGCUCGAGAAAGAGCUCGAGGUUUUGUAUGAGAAAAACUUGUCUCUUUUUUUAACAUUUAUUUUUAUCAGCAUCAAUAAUAAUGAGUAGCUUAUUCUUGAUGUCAUGAAUCUUAUGAAAAAGUAUUCUUUGCAUUUUGAGAGCAUUGUUUAUUGUUCUAGGUUGCUUGCUUGCUUGAUUAGAAAGGACUUCUACAGGCACAUAACGUAGGCUGUGGUUUUUGGCUAUGAAAGAAAAGGAUUCAUAAGGCUCAAAGAGUGUUUCAGGGUUUCAAAGAAUGAAGAUCACAAUCAACAGUUUGACUCUUGACGUCAUUCAUAUUUUCUUUUGCCGCUCUUCUUUGAUUUGCCUUUUUUUCUUUUUUCUUUUUCAUUGCUUUGCUAGAGCAUACUCACUUUAUCUUGGUUAUCACUUUUUCUUGUGAUUUGGGCAUGCCCCCUAGCAUUUGAGUUUCUUGGGCUCUUUUGCCUUUUGACUUUCUCACGGCUUUAUUAUCUUUCUUGAUCAUUGAAAUUUCACUUGCCCCCAGUGUGGGGUGUGAUCCUAGUCGGGAUUUUUUCAUGAAAGAAAAAUUAUUCAGGCUCAAAAAGGGAUCGCAAGGGAUGUACUUAUUUCAGAAUAUGAAAGGAAUAACAAAGAUGGCAUUUCCUCAUUUCAAGCGCAAGCAGUUAAGAUCAAUAAACUUUGACCUCAUCUAGUGUGAUAGUUUGGUCUUUGCAAAGAUGCAUUUCAAGGGUCAUGAGCAACAAGUUCACUACAUACCAUUAUUCAUACAUUUAAAAACACAUGAUUCAAGAGUCGUGGGGUAAGGGUGUUUAUUUAUUUCUUUUCUCUUUUUUCUUUUUUUCUUUUUGGUUUAUAAUUUAGUCACCUCAUUGAUGGAGUUACUUGAUUAACACGUAGAAUGUUAAAAAUAUGGUUUUUGAAUAAACAUCAAGUUAUUUUCGGAAUCAAAAUGCAAGAUCAAUUUUUUCAAAACUCUAAUAGGGAAACUGAUUUUUGGUAACAGAGACAAAUUGCGUCUAUGAGAUCGCACAAGGCUUCAAAGAUGUGUUUGUGAGUCUUUAUAAGAAAACUCUCUCAGAAAAAUGAAUAAUGCUAAUCGUACACACGAUUGAAUGACAAACUCAUUAUUUUCAUUGAAACUUUGGAAAAUAAGUUCAACAAGAAAGAACUCAUGACAACAUCUUGGGCUAUGAAUACUGGCAUGAUAGCAUAUAAAGGGGCUAAACAUUUAACAAUCAUUGAUUGGAAUUUCUGGAAUCAUUCAUUCUCCUUGACAAGGGCAUCUCUUCAAUAGUCAAUAAUAUCACCAUAGCUUUAUCUUCAAGAUAGUUGAUUUCUAAAAAUUGGUGUGAAGCAAUUAGCUAUAGGAACGAUAACUGUCUUGGCAGCCACCUUCAGUGAAACCGUUCUUCUUAGUUAGGUUAGCAAUCUUACAUAACCCAAUGGCUUGUUCAAUCCUCUCAGCUAUAACAACCAGGUCAGUGAAAUGUUGCGCAGAGCUUCUAACCAAGUAUUCAAAGUAUGAAGCUUUAAAGUUGUUGGAAAAUAAACUGAUCAUCUCUUUUUCCAACAUAGAAGGGUUAACCUGUGCAGCUACCUCCCUCCAUCUUCGAGCGUAUUUCCUUAUGGACUCCUUAUUGUCCUUCUCCAUAGCUUGCAAGUUUAAACGAUCAGAGUCCACGUCUAUAUUGAACUUAUAUUGUCUCAUGAAGGCAUCAACUAAAUCCUUCCAUUUUUUAACCUUGGUAUUUUCCAACCGCAUAUACCAAGUGAGGGCAACGUCACUCAAAUUGUCUUGAAAGAAGUGAAUUAACAGUUUCUCGUCAUAGACUACCUCAACCAUUUUGUUGCAGUAUGUCUUGAGAUGAGUUACAGGGCAUUGAGUUCCUGUAUAUUUGAUGAAUUCUGGCACUCUAAACUUCUUAGGAAUGACUACGUUAGGUACCAAACACAUCUCAACAGCUUUUAUAUGGUCAUGUAGGCUAGUUCCCUCGAAUGCCCUCAGUCUUUGUUCCAAGGCAGCCCUUUUAUCCAGGCCAUCUUCUUUUACCACCUUGUUCUUUUGAGAUUCCUUUAUUGUAAGGUCAAUGGUAGAUGACAUUCCUAUGGGAUAUGCUGGUUGAGCAAAUUGGGAAUACAUAGACUGUUGAGACACCUCAUUUGCCCCCAGAUUCUGUGGAUUUACGAGCAUAGGUUCAGGCUGAGCUGUAGAUUUUGCUUCUUCAUGUUUAGAUCUCAAGGCUUGUUCGAGUAAGCUAGUAAGCCUGGCAACUUUCCAUCUCUUUUCGGUGUGGGGCUUCCAACUGGGCUCUUUCUUGUAAAAAAUUCCACACAAGGCUGUGAUUAAGAGAUUAACAAGAUGAUAGAUAUUUUUUUAGUAAAAUGAAUUCCAAUUCAAAAUAGCAAAAUAAGGUUUGUUGAGGCUUUUCUAGUAUAUAAAAAAAUCAAAUUAUACAAGAUUUAUUAUUAAUCUUCGAUAUUUAUUAUUGAUCAUCAAUAAUCAAUAUUAAAUGAUGACUUAUUUUCUAGUAUAAACUAUGUUUGAAAUAAAAUUGAUAAAACACAUUAUAUAUAAUUAAUGAUGGGAUCGUAUAUAAAAAUAAUUAAAUUGAGAUUUUUCAAUUACCUUUAAAUAUAUCAUAGUUUUAAUCGGUGGUGGACGAUAUAACAUAUGUAAAUUAUAAAACAAGCAUUUAUUUUUCUGAUAUAUACAUAAUAAUAACAAAUUAAAUGAUAGUAACAAGAAAAUAGCAAUUAGUUUGAAUAAAUGGUACCAGUUCCUAUCAUUAUAUAUUUAGGAAAAGGUUCAAAGAAUAGAAUAAAGUCAAAUAUAUAUUUUUAAUAAAAAAGAAAAAAAAACACAGAAAGAAAUAAAAAUAUGUUUGUAAUAAAUAUAAAAGAUGGAUAAAAAUAUUAGAGAAUAAGAAAGAGAUAUAGAAUCUCUUUGUGAAAUUUCUAAAAACUUAAUUACAAUUAUAUUAUAAUUUCUUCCCUAAAAUUAUUCAAAAUAUAGUAUUAGAAUUAUAUAAUGCUAGGUUUUAAUAGUUAAUUAAAGAAUCUUUCCUGAAUCAAAUAAUAAAAAUAUUGUAUAACGAUCUUUUGGAUGAAUUGUUAAUGUAGCUCUUUGACUGUUUGGGGUCCUGACAUAGCUGAUUUUAUUUGAAUAUAUUAUUUGAUAUCUCAUUGCUGCAUUGACUGGAAAUUUCAGUAUUCCAUAUCCUAUAUAUUUAACUCGUUAUAUUUAGUAGCUAACUCUGCAGCUAACUUCUCUGUCCCAUUGCAGCAAUUUCAUAGCUAACUCUUUGUUAUAUUUAACUUACUCUUCUUUGCUUCUUUGCUUCUUGCUCAUAACGAUAACUUGAAAGCCUUACGUUCAGAUAGAUAAUCAUUGACCAGUUCAUUGACCAGUUCUUUGUUAAUUUAGAAAUGCUGAAACAAAAACGCAAGCAAUCCAAAGAUGAAGACAACGAUUCAUCCUCGCGAAAGAGAAGAAAAGCUGACCUCAGUAAGCCUGUCAGUUUUGUCUCCACAGGUAAGGCAUAUGCGUGAGUCUAUACAUGUAGGAACUGCUGAUUCGAUUUGAAUAUGUUAUUUGAUUAGUCUGAUCAUAGGAUAGGUUGAGUCUACUACUAUUUCUGCCUUGCUUUGACUCGAAAUUCCUGGUGUUUUCACCUGCAAAUGAAUAGAAAUCACAUCCUUUCUCUUUCUCCUAUACAAAGAAUACAGUUAACCUCAUUUCAAUAUCAUAGAUUUGGAAUUUCAUAGCUAACUCUUUGUUAUAUUGCUCCAUUGGUAAUUGAUUGUGCCUUAAUUUCUGCAGCUACCAUGACAGAGCCAGGGUCUUCUCGAUCUAGUCCAGAAGGGGCCUAUGAUGUCUUCUUGAGUUUUAGAGGAGAAGACACUCGCAAGACAUUUACAGAUCAUCUAUAUGCUGCCUUAGAUCAAGCAGGAAUCCGCGCUUUUCGAGAUGAUGAUGAACUUCCGAGAGGAGAAGAAAUCUCCGAUCAUCUCCUCAGGGCAAUUCAAGAAUCAAAGAUAUCCAUAGUUGUCUUCUCAAAAGGAUAUGCUUCUUCUAGAUGGUGUCUCAAUGAACUUGUAGAGAUUCUUGAGUGCAAAAAGAGGAAAACCGGUCAGAUUGUUCUUCCUAUAUUCUAUGACAUUGAUCCUUCAGAUGUGAGAAAACAGAACGGCAGUUUUGCAGAAGCAUUUGUUAAACAUGAAGAGCGUUUUGAAGAGAAGUUGGUGAAGGAGUGGAGAAAAGCUCUUGAGGAGGCUGGAAAUCUAUCUGGAUGGAAUCUCAAUGAUAUGGCAAAUGGGUAUGCCUUUUUUCCAAAUUUAUGGAGUCAAUAUACUUUAUAUUUUUCAAUGUGAAACAAUAAAAUACUUAAUUGACUGGCUAUCAAUGACUGGCUUUUGUCUAUGAGCAGGCAUGAAGCAAAAUUUAUCAAAGAGAUUAUCAAGGAUGUGUUGAAUAAAUUAGAUCCCAAGUACUUAGAUGUUCCUGAGCUCCUAGUAGGUAUGGAUCGGCUUUCUCGCAAUAUUUUUGACUUUCUAAGUACUGCAACACAUGAUGUACGCAUUGUGGGCAUACAUGGGAUGCCAGGAAUAGGAAAGACAACUAUAGCAAAAGUUGUAUUUAAUCAACUCCGCUAUAGAUUCGAGGGAAGCUGCUUUUUUUCGAAUAUCAAUGAAACAUCAAAACAAUUCAAUGGUCUGGCUCUUUUACAAGAGCAACUUCUUCAUGAUAUUUUAAAACAAGAUGUUGCUAACAUCAAUUGUGUCGAUAGAGGAAAGGUUCUGAUCAAAGAACGACUUCGUCGCAAAAGAGUUCUUGUUGUUGCUGAUGAUGUGACUCGUCAGGACCAGCUAAAUGCUUUGAUGGGAGAGCGAGGUUGGUUUGGUCCCGGAAGUAGAGUAAUUAUUACAACAAGAGAUUCAAGUUUUCUACAUAAAGCGGAUCAAACAUAUCAAAUCGAAGAAUUGAAACCAGAUGAGUCCUUUCAACUUUUCAGCUGGCAUGCCUUGCGGGACACCAAGCCAGCAGAAGAUUAUAUUGAGCUUUCGAAGGAUGUAGUUGAUUACUGUGGAGGAAUUCCUUUGGCUCUUGAGGUUAUGGGUGCUUGUCUGUCCGGGAAAAACAGAGAUGGUUGGAAAUCUGUAAUUGACAAAUUGAGAAGAAUUCCAAACCGCGAUAUCCAAGGAAAGCUUAGAAUAAGUUUUGACGCACUGGACGGUGAAGAACUACAAAAUGCAUUCCUUGACAUCGCUUGCUUCUUUAUUGAUAGAAAGAAAGAGUACGUCGCAAAAGUGCUAGGAGCCCGUUGCGGUUACAAUCCAGAAGUUGAUUUGCAAACUCUCCAUGAGAGGUCUCUGAUUAAAGUAUUGGGAGAGACGGUAACCAUGCAUGAUCUAUUACGAGACAUGGGAAGGGAGGUCGUUCGUGAAAAGUCUCCAAAACAACCUGGAGAGAGGACCAGAAUUUGGAAUCAAGAGGAUGCAUGGAAUGUACUUGAGCAGCAGAAGGUAAGAGCUCAAUGCAUACAUGAAAGCAUAGUCAUGCGUAUUUUCUAGUCAAACUUAUUACAAGUAAUUGUAUGAAAGUUGUAUUGAUUUAUUUUUUAGGGUACGGAUGUCGUAGAGGGUCUUGCACUGGAUGUCAGAGCAUCAGAAGCUAAAUCACUUAGCGCAGGAUCAUUUGCAGAAAUGAAAUGCUUAAAUUUACUCCAAAUCAAUGGAGUUCAUCUCACCGGAUCCUUCAAACUGCUUUCUAAAGAGUUGAUGUGGAUUUGUUGGCUUCAAUGUCCUUUGAAAUAUUUUCCAUCUGAUUUUACCUUGGAUAAUUUAGCUGUUCUUGAUAUGCAGUACAGUAACCUCAAAGAACUAUGGAAGGGAAAAAAGGUGAGAAACAUGCUGCAAUCCCCAAAAUUUCUCUAUUAUGUAAUUUAUAUUUACAUGUUACAACUUCUUAAGAUUAAUUUUCAUUAUUUUGCGCUCUAUUAUACAGAUUCUCAACAGGCUAAAAAUCCUUAAUCUCAGUCAUUCUCAGCACCUUAUUAAAACACCAAACUUACACAGUUCAAGUCUAGAGAAAUUAAUUCUGAAAGGUUGCUCGAGUUUAGUUGAGGUGCAUCAAUCAAUUGAAAAUUUGACGAGCCUUGUUUUCUUGAAUCUCAAGGGAUGUUGGAGGCUGAAGAAUCUCCCUGAAAGAAUUGGCAAUGUAAAGUCUCUUAAAACUCUGAAUAUUUCUGGGUGUUCACAACUUGAGAAAUUGCCAGAACGCAUGGGUGAUAUGGAAUCCUUAACUAAGCUGCUAGCUGAUGGGAUUGAAAAUGAGCAAUUUCUCUCUUCAAUUGGACAAUUAAAGCAUUGCAGAAGGUUAUCAUUGCAUGGAGACAGUUCGACGCCACCAAGUUCUUCUUUGAUUUCAACAGGUGUUUUGAAUUGGAAACGUUGGCUGCCAGCAUCUUUCAUUGAAUGGAUAUCAGUGAAACAUCUUGAGCUUUCUAAUAGUGGUUUGUCUGAUCGCGCAACUAACUGUGUUGAUUUCAGUGGUUUGUCUGCUCUAGAAAAAUUGGAUCUAACAGGAAACAAAUUCUCUAGGCUGCCUUCUGGGAUCGGCUUCCUUCCCAAGCUAACGUAUUUGUCUGUUGAGGGAUGCAAAUAUCUUGUAUCAAUCCCAGAUCUUCCCUCAAGUUUAGGGCAUUUGUUUGCAUGUGAUUGCAAAUCAUUGAAAAGAGUAAGAAUACCAAGCGAGCCAAAAAAAGGACUAUUUAUAAAGCUAGAUGACAGUCAUUCGUUAGAAGAGUUUCAGGGCAUUGAAGAUCUAAGUAAUUGUUUCUGGUAUAUUCGUGUUGAUGACCGCAGUCAUUCACCAAGUAAAUUACUAAAGAGCGUUGUUGAGGUACUAUUUCUUUCCGUCUCUCUUUCGCACAAAAAGAAACACACACAAUUGGCACAUACAUUGAUUAAUGUCUAAAAUCUCAGCAUUCCUUGAAAUCAAUAUGUAUAUAGGCAAUAAUUAUUAUUAUUAUUAUUAUAUUUUAAAAAACAAAUAUCAUGUUUUAUAAUAUUUUUUAUUUUUCUUAUUUAAUCUAAAAAAUUAAAUAUUAUCUUUAAUAAUAUUUUUUAUUAAAUAUUUAAAGUCUGAUUGGUUUUAUUUUUUAUUUCUUGAUUUUAUGAUAAUAUAUUUAUACAGUUAAUGUGCAACGGUCGUCACGGGUAUUUUAUUCGCCACACUCCUAGUGAGAUGCCAAACUGGAUGAGCUACAGGGGAGAAGGAUGCUCAUUGUCAUUCCAUAUACCUCCAGUCUUUCAAGGCUUAGUUGUUUGGUUUGAUAAGGAUGAUCAUUAUUACUUCCACACUGACAUUAUUAUUAUUAUAAGAAAUAAAAGCAACGGUAUUCAAUUGUUUGAAGAAGAACGAACAGUACCAGAAAAUGAAAACAAUACCUCCAAAUUAGUAGAACGAACAGUAUCAGAACGAACAGUACCUCCAAAUUAGUAGGGUACAUCUCUUUUUGCCGAGUUGAUAUGAAUUCGUUAGCUUGAUGAAAACAACCGAAAGUUCUGAAAGCAUCCUUAAUUAGUAUAAUUAGUAAAGUCUUGUUAGUUUUGGCUAUAAGUUUUUGUUAUGUAUUAUUGCAUGGUUUUUAUUAUUUGUUGGCCCUUGUUUUUUUUAUAUACAACUUUUAUUUUUAUUGUCGGUUUGUCAUUAGCUUUAUGGCACUAACACUUAUUAAUAAUAAAUCUUGGACUAUUAUUAAAUAAAGGAAAAAUAAAAACAUUGUUAAAAUACCAAACUUGCAUAUUUCAAACUUAGAGAAAGCCGAUGAUAAUAAUCCAAUUUAGAAAAUAAUUAAUUUGUCCUUGUAGUAUUAGAAAAUAGUAUUUAAUCCUUAUGUUUUCAUAUUCAUCUAUGAUUUAAUCUCUUACAUCCAUUUCAUUUUCUUAUUAUUUUAAUCCAAAAAAAACUAAAAAUCACAUAUCAUGAAUACCAAUUAGAACGGAAGUGAAGACCAAUUAGAAGACUAUAAUCCAUAAUUCUCUCUGCUUCUAAGAAUUCACAGUCCCUAUAAAUUUGACUGAGAAAGAAAGAACUGAAGACAAACACAUGUUAACCUCUCAAGAUUAGUGCCUCACAAAAGAACAAGAUAAAGGAAACACCGCAAUUUUUCAUGAUAAAAUCCAAAGGAUUGGUACUUUGGUGUUUGUGGCGCUGGUAUAUGAAAGAACAGAGAUCAAGAGAUGAAAUCCCUCUAUACCGCUGUUAUUCCUUUCAAGGUGCGUAUCAGGUGUUUGAAAAACUUCCUCAACUUAAAGUAGAAAGGUCUUGUUUACAACGUUUUUUAGUCCUUUUCAAGUCUUCCAAUGUGUUGCAUUUACUGAAUAUGAUAGUGGGAAUUUAGUUAUCACCUACUAUCUUCUAAGACGCAUCUCUGUCUCCUCUUCUUCUUUAUAAAAUUAUUCCCUUCUAGUUCUCUAAUGUACUUGAUGUCCCGGAAGUGUGGCUUCUUCAUAUGAAGAAUACGUUAAGAUUCAAUUAUGAUUUUAGAUUCCAUUGCCUACAAAUUUGAACCAUGAUAAUGUAGCAUACGGACCAGUCAUGCCUAUCUACAUUAAUUAGAAUAGGCCUCCACCCUCUUAGGUUUUUAUUGAGAUUAGGGAUUCUAUUGUAGCUCUUUUUUCUCCUUUUAUUAUAACAAAAUAAUAUGUAUGGAUUAAUUUUCGUAUACAGAAACUAAGUCCUUUAAUCAAAUUUUAGAUUGACCAUCCUCUAUUUUUUAACUGUUUGAUACUUGUUUAAAAAAAAUACUAGUAAUGAGGGCAUGAAAUUAAGAAGGUGUGUGGGAAUGUGGUUGUGGUUGUUUUUGAAAAUAUAUUUUACUUAAAAAUAUAUCAAAAUAUUAUUUUUUUUAUUUUUAAAAAUUAUUUUUAAUAUUAACAUAUUAAAAAUAAAACGGUUAAAGAUAAAGUCCCAAAACAUAUUCUGCCCUUCUCCCCAAUGAACGUGGGCAGGCUUGACAUUUACUCGUUUACAAAACUGAGCCCAGUGGCAAAGAGGCCUGCUUAUUAUGCCUUUAGCUGAGACUGCUGUAGAAAUAAGUAGGCCUGAUCAAUUGGACUAAAUUUUUGUUUUGCUGUAGAAACACGUUUUUCCUUUGUGAGAAAAAGCAAGUUCAAAAAAACAGAAGAAGCAGAAUUUGAAAAAAAGAAGAGAAAAAAGAAAGAUGCUUUAGUUUUUAAUCCAUAAUGUCCAAAGUGACUGGGUAGAUAAGAUCCAGCCCAUUUGGGUCCAUCAAAGUCAUUUGUGGUAGCUUAUGACUAAUGUGCCCAAAGGAUGGCGGUUCAGUAACGGUCCAAGUAAAGAAACUAAUCUGGAAAAGGAAAUCAUGCCCAUCAGAAUUCAGAAGAUCAUUCUGCGUCCAUUUCACAUUAGCAAAAUGAAUCAAAACACCCAUUAGAAUUUUGAAGUCAUGUAUCUUCGAUGAAUUGCAAGCCAUAUCCAAAAGUUUCAUCAUCCAUAUGCCAAGCAGCAUGCAUGCAUGCAAAAUAUGGUGAGACAGAGUCAUCAGAUAAAAAAGAAAAAUAGUAGUGGAAUAAUUCUUUUAAUAUUUAAAAAUUAAAAAAUACUGUGUAACUGUUUUGUAUAAAUUGUAAAGUCAAGGACUCUUUUGUGCUUGGUAAAAUACCUCACACUAAAAUUAAUAAAUAAUAACACGAGAAGGACCAAAGUUAAUAAAUAAUAGCAUGCACGAAACUUUACAAUACAGUAAAAAAAUUGUUACAGUAAAAGCACAGAGAGAAGAACGGUUCCAUAAAAAGAUGUGGUAAGUCUAAUGUUGGGAGACUGCUCUUCCAAGGAUCCUACGGUUGCGAGCCAUGUGAAUGCAAAAGGAGCCAGUUGUUGCAACUCCAAAUUCCUUGCUUUUUUUCCUCUACGUACGUGUUACCUUUAACCUUUUAUAAUUAUGAUUGUUGCGUUGCUAAUUAUAAUUUGCAAGAAAGAUGAUGAACAUCUUUUAGUGAAUUAAGUUCAAUUCAAAAUAACAAAAUAAGGUUUGUUGAGGCUUAUCUUCGAACCUCAUUUUAGGAUUAAUAGACGAAAAUCAAAAAGUCCUGUGCAAAUUAUACAAAAUUUAUUAUUAAUAAUCAAUAUUUAUGAUUGAUCAUCAACAUUAAAUAAUGGCUUAUUUUCUAGUAUAAACUAUGUUUGAAAUAAAAUUGAUAACAGACACACAAUUAAUGAUGGUAUUGUAUAUUUUGAGACGAAAUUAAGGUUUUUCAAUUAAUGCUAAAACAUAUCAUGGUUUUAAUAGUUGGAUGGUACAUUAUGUAAAAUAUAAAAAAAUAUUUAUUUUUUUGAUAUACAUAGUAAUAAUAAAUUAGAUGAUAAUAACAAAAAAAUAGAAAUUAGUUUGAAUAAAUAGUACCGGUUCAUAUUAUGAUAUAUCUAGAGAAGAAGUUGGAAGAAUAGAAUGAAAUCAAAUAUUAAUAUAAAAAAAAAUAUUGAAGUAAUGAGUACAUGAAGCAAGAUAAUUAGUGGUUGAAUAUAGAUUAUAACUAAUUAUUUGUUCUGAUGAAGAUUACCAAUUAAAUACAAACAAAAAAAAUGUUUCUAAAAUAAAAGGAUAUGAAUUAACUAUAGAAACUAAAGAGUGGAUCGGUUAUCUUUAACGUUUGCAAAUAAUUAAAAGAGAUAUAAAUUUUGUGAUGGGUUAUGAUUAACGCAGAAGCAAAUAAAAGAGGAACAGAAAUUAUAAGCAAAUAUUGUUUCCUGGGCGGAAGUGUUUGGCACUGUCGAUAAAAGUUUUUUGAAAAAAAUUAAUUUUAUUUUUAUUUUUUUAUUUUAAAUUAAUAUAUAUUUUAUGUUUUCAGAAUAUUUUGAUGUAUUAAUAUCAAAAAUAAUUAUUCAAAAAUAAAAAAAAAUCUAACCAUUAGAGCUUCUCUCUCAAUCGUCUUUCUUUUUUUUAAUAACUAGAUUAUUAAAAUUACAAGAAUUAAGUUAAUAUUUCAAAAAAUUUCAAAAAAAUAUUUUGUUUUCUUUUAGUAUCUGGGAUUAUGAAUUUAUACGUAAAAUGUAUUCUUGAUAUUAAAAAAAAAGAUAAGGAUCUUCUUACUGAGGAAGACUUAUCUUGAACCUUAGACAUACUAAUUAGAAAACAUGACAAUACCUUAAUUUUUCUCAGACAAUUAAACAAUGCAAUUGUGUAUUUGGGGUGCUAAUAUAUUUUUUUUUACACAAUCAGUUUUCAUGCUCGAUCUCUAAGAUUAAUUAGGGUUUCUAGUAACUAAAAUACUAAGUAAAUAUUUUCUAGUAAAUUAAUUUCAAUUCAAAAUAACAAAAUAAGGUUUGUUGAGGCUUAUCGUGAAACCUUGUUUUGGAUGAAUUGAUCACGAGAAUGAGAAAUCAUGUGUAAAUUAUACAAAAUAUAUUAUUAAUCAUCAAUAUUUAUUAUUGAUUAUCAAUAUUGAAUAAUGGUUUUUUAUAAUAUAAAUUAUGUUUAAAAUAAAAUUGAUAAAAUUAAAAUUCAUGAAACACAAUUAAUGAUGGGAUCUACAUCUUUUGAAUUUAUUAGAAUGAACGUGUAAUUAAAGGACGAACCACAUACCAUUACAUGCGUUUUCAAUUGGAUUUUUUAUUUAAAUGAAAAAAAAUCUGUUUUAUAUGAAAAAAAUAUUUAUUUUUUUGAUAUACCUAAUAAUAAUAAAUUAGAGAAUAGUAACAAGAAAAUAGGAAUUAGAUAGACUAAACGGUACCAAUACUAUAUUCUUAAUAAAAAAAAUAUUUUUAAUAAAUAUAAAAGAUGGAUGAAAAUUGUUGCUACUCGAUUUUUUACCUAUAUUUUAAAUAAUUUUUCAGAAAAAAAUCAAAAUAGUAAAAACACAACGAAAAUCUCAAAAAAUGUAUUUUUGAUAUAUUUGUAUUGUUUUUAGCAUUUUUAAUAUUAUCUCAAAAAAAUUUUAAUUUUCAAAAGUAUUUUAAACGCGUUUAAUUUUUAAUGCGUAAAAUUUACAAUUACUGAUUUGCCUUAUUAAGUUGAUAUUGAUAUGAUUUGUUUUUAAAAAAAUUCAAAAUAUAACAAAUAAAAAAAUAUCAAAAUUUAUAUAUAUAAAAAAAAAUGAGGAACCAGUUUGGAAAUCUAAUAAGAUUUUGGCUAUAAAUACAGUGAAAAAUGUCAACAUCCGGGGGGAAUUGAGAGGAAUAGUGGCGUAGAAAAUUUUGGGGGGAAACAAAAGUAAAGAACCCUAGACCUCUUCCUUUUGGCAGUGUGGUAGUGGUUGCUUUUCAAAUAAUUUUUCGUGCCGAAAUACAUGCCAAUGAUAUUUUUUUAUUUUUUAAAAAUCAUUUUUGACAUCAGCACAUCAAAACGAUCCAAAAAAUACAAACCACACUCAAUUUUAACAAAAAAAAAAACAAAUUUGAAAUUUGGUGAAAAGCAGGUUGAACAGCAGAGCCAAACAUGCUAGACAGGAGCCGCCGCCUCCCUCUCAAAAAAUCCAGAGAAACCCUCCCUCUCUAAAAAAAAACAGGAGAAACCCUACUUUGGGGUUUUGAACUUUCGGCUUCUUCUCCCUGCAGCCGGACAAGGCUGCCCCCUCGCUUUGCCAAAAACGAGGAGAACCCCACAAAACACACAGACCCCCCCCCCCCAAAAAAAAAAAAAAAACCAUCCCCAGAGAAACCAACCCCCAGCCGGCGACCCCCAGCCUUAACAACAAAGAAAGACACGGCUGGUCCCCCCUCUCCACUGAUCUUCUCCCUCACCAACCUUCCCCUCUCUCGGCCGCUCACUUCCCCUCCGUCAAAAACAGAGACCGGCCGCCCCCCCCCUCUCCUUUGAGGCCAGGAACCAGAGAAACCAGAGAGCUCCGGACAGGCCUCCCUCUCCCUCGACCACAACCUCCAUCCUCCCUCUCUGUAAUCCAGCCCCCACAAACCCACAAGACAGCCCCGGCUCCCUUCCUCAUCGCCGUUUUCUCCAACUCUGACCGACCCCUCUCUCAGCCACCGAGAACGCCGCCUAGCAGCCCGCAGGCCCUCGUCCUCACCAAGACCCGAACCGGCCACCGGCAGCUGUACAGACACGACAGAAGCUCCGCCGCCGGCCGCCCCUUGCACAUACCGUCGGCCACCUGAAACAGAAGGUGAAAAAAAAAGAAAAAAACAGAUCUGCAGAAGAAACAGAUCUGAAACAAGGGAAGACCGAAACAGAUCUAAAGAAGAAGAAUAAAAAUCAACUGCUUUGUUGCGUUUUUGGUUGUUCUUGCAGGUCACUGCCGAGGAAAGGAAGAGGAGGAGAAGUUAAGCCAGAUCCACAUGUUCACAGUUUCUGCUUGCGGUGACGCGUGAACCCACACGCCGCCAGUGGCAUGGUGCGUGGAGAAGACGCUCCGCCACUGUUCCCAUCCCCAGAACCCUUUCAGCACUGUUCCCGAGGUUUUUUUUUAUUUAAUUUUCAGAUGUUGAUAUGUGUUUUUAGAUUAUUUUUAUUUGAUUUAUUUUGAAUUCUUGGUAUUUUGUAAUAUGGAAAUGUGGGUGCACGAGAAAAACAUAAUAAAAAGGAAUUUAUGUGUUUGUAUUUUUUUUAUGUAAGUUAUUGAAUUAUAAAAUCAGAAAGAUAAAAAAAAAUAAAUUUAAUGUUUUAAUUUGUAUAUGGUCAAGUAUAUGAUGAUAAUUAAAAUUAUGUUGUAUUUUUCAUAUUUUUCAUAAAAAUAUAAGAACAUGUUUCUAUAUAUUUUCUGGUGGAAGCUUUAAAAUUUGAUUAAUAUUUUAUUUUUUAAAAUUGUAUCUUCAAAUUAAAUUAUGAAGCAACUUAUCUCAGGUAAGAUGUGUUAGAGGUGUUAAUAUUUUUUCAAUUAUAAUCAAUUUUUUAUCCUUGAAUCUUUGACAAGACUAACAUAUCCAGGUUUUUUAGUAGGUGAUGACUUUCAAGAACAAGCAAACGAAGAAAAUCACUAAUUGACGCCGUGCAGGGAACGUGCGACAAAAAUAUUAGAGAAUAAAAUUGAGAUAUAGAAUCUCUUUUUUAUAUUUCUAAAAACUUAAUUUCUGUUGUAACCUAUUUUUGAGUCCCACACUAAAAUGGAGAAUAAACAAAUUUGGAAGAAAUCUAAAAAAAUAAUAGCAAUGAGAAGAGGAUGCCGAAACACCUAGAAAAUAGCUAGAAAUUGGUUGAGGAGGUUCAAAAAUACAAAAAUUAAAAUUUGACAGUAUAUAUUUGACUGAUGAGAGCUCUAUUGAAAAAGAAAAUUUAAUUUGAGAAAAAAAAGUUUAAAAUCAGAUGUUUAUGGAUUUAAUUAAUUUUAUUGAAGGAUUUAUAAAGAGUUUGAUUGCAAGAAAAAUUGAUUUUUAAGUCAAUUUAGACUUUAAUUGAAAGAAAUUAAAGUUCUGAGGUCAAAUUACAAUUUUUAAGAGUUAAUUUGGUCAAAUUAGGAGUUUAAUUACAUAAAUAUUAAAGUUUGAUGGCUAAUUAGGGACUUGUUUAAAUAAAUCCAAAACUAAUGACCAAAAGUUCUAUAACUCUAGAUAUAGUUAACAAUCUGAUGAGUGUUCAGACAGUAACAGUUCAAUGUCGAGACAGUAACAGUUGGACAAUAACAGUUAGACAGUAACAGUUCAAUGUUUAGACAGUAACAGUUGGACAGUAACAGUUCAAUAUCUAGACAGUAACGGUUGGACAGUAACAGUUCAAUGUCUAGACAGUAACAGUUCAAAUUAGACAGUAACAAUUAGACUUUCACGUGAAUACUAUAUGUAAGAAUAUAAAAGAACUGAGUCAUGCGAACACUUGCACGUUGAGACACUUAUGCAAUUUAAAGUUCUUCUGGUGAAUGCAAUUACAAUAAAUACCAUGUUCAAUGUAAAUAAAGUCCAGCGUAUUUACAAGAUUAGCUACAGCUAAUGGCAUCCGUGAUAGGAUUGCCGGGAAAUGAAUUACAAGAGUAGCUUGGGCUAAUAAUGUCCAUGUUGGGACGCCCGAGAACGAUUGAUAAGACUUGAUUUGUAAAGGGUAUCAAUGUUUGAAUGACUUGGGAAAUUGAUAAAUAUAAGUUGACUGUUAUAAUUCUUAUGGAUCCGAUAGAAAAUUUAUACUUCAUUCGUAUACCUUACAUGUGCACAUAUAUAUUUCUUUUGCAAACAUAAUGGUAUGUUUAUUUAUGUAACAAGGCCAUCAAAUAUCCAAGGAGAUCAUUAGUUUAGGGCUCUAUUUUGUCAAUCUUAUGUAAAUAUUUAACUUAAGCAUAAUGGAAUUAACGUGUUUAUGCAGUAUGCUUUUGUGUAAACCUUGAUGUAUUUAUAAAAGUCCAGCUUAACAUGUAGUACAUUAGUUAUCUUGUAAUUAACCCUCUUGAAAUGUUUAAGAAUACUUAAUAAAUUGUAAAUGCUCUCUUUGCAUGUUAUUCCCUUUUCUUUUAAAUUUUAUGACAUGAUAUAUAGGCUAUGUUCAUAUUGAACUUACUAGUAGGAUAUAUAUAUAUAUAUAUAUAUAUAUAUAUAUAUAUAUAUAUAUAUAUAUAUAUAUAUAUAUAUAUAUAUAUAUAUUGUGUGGAUUGUAUGAGUUGUUGAAUAUUGAUAAUUGAAAUAAGGUCUGGAAUUAUGGGACCUUGUGAUGAUGGGUUGAUUGAGUAAAUUGGUAGUAGUCGAUAAUUUGGAAUGUCCUAAAUACAAACGAAACUUUGCCGAAUUUUUGGUAGAUUUAAAAAAAAAAAAUUACCCUCAAAUUAAGAACAUAUGUUGGGAUCUUUUAACGUUGAUCAAGUCGUACAGUCGGGUCUGUUACAUAUACCGUAAAGAUACAAAUCCAGUAUUAAAAUACGUGGUUUUCACCAAAAUAUUGCAAAAGUUAAAUAAAAGAAAUAUAUUAUUUUCAUGCAUAUGGCCAACUCUUUAAAAAAAAAUUAUCAUAUCGUAUUUUCAUACCAUAAAAAAAAUCUCAAAAAUAUUUGUUAGCAUGCAUUUUGGCUUUAAUAACUAGUUUGUUAAAGUCAUGAGAACUAUGCUAACAUUUUAAAAAUUUCAAAAAAAUUAUCUUGUUUUAUUUUAAUAUCCGGGAUUAUGAACUUAAUCGUAAGUCGUACUCCUAAUAUUAAAAUUAGUUUCUUUGGUUGAUAUAGAACGGUUAGGUUUUACCCAAUUAGAUAAUAAUCUCUUUAUCGAGGAAAAUUUUUCUUAAACCAUAGACAGACCAACAACUAGAAAACACAAUGAUACCUUAGCCUAUAUCAGACAAUAAAACAAUGCAGCUUACCUUAGGUAGGGCGUAUUUUGGGUGCUAAUACUUUUUUUUUACGCAAUCAGUCUCCGUACCCGAUCUUUGAGACCAAUUAGGGUUUCAGUUACCAAAAUACUAGGUGGUGACUCUCAUUUUUCCAUUCCACUGAUAAAAGACAAGAUUUUCUUGCCUCCCUAUAUUUGCCAGAUAGACAUACAUGAGAGUGGAUGUUAUUCACCGUGACACCGCACACGUGUCACAAUUACAAUUCCAUUAUAAUUUGUUCCUUAAAAGUAUUCAAAAUAUAGUAUUAGAAUUACGUAAUGCUAGGUUUUAAUAUAUAAUUUUUUAUAUUGUUAAAGAGUCUCUCCUGGACCAAAUAAUAAAAAUAUUGUAUAACUCUUAUGUAUGAAUCGUAAAUCCAGGGAUUGUUUUGGAUCCUGAAUUGGCUGAUUUGAUUUGAAUAUAUUAUAUGAUUAGUCCAUUUAUAGGUUAACUCUACUAUUGCUGCCUUGCAUUGACUUUACUCUGCAGCUAACUUCUCUGUCCCAUUGCUGCCAUUUCAUAGCUAACUCUUUGUUAUAUUUAACUUUCUCUUCUUUGCUUCUUUCUCGUUUUAAUUUCAUUUCUUGCUCAUAACGAUAACUUGAAAGCCUCACGUUCAGAUAGAUAAUCAUUGACCAGUUCAUCCUAUAUCAUUCUAUUUAAUUUAGAAAUGCAGAAAGAAAAACGCAAGCAAUCCAAAGAUGAAGAAAACGAUUCAUCCUCGCGAAAGAGAAGAAAAGCUGACCUCAGUAAGCCUGUCAGUUUUGUCUCCACAGGUAAGGCAGAUGCGUGAGUCUAUACAUGUAGGAACUGCUGAUUCGAUUUGAAUAUGUUAUUUGAUUAGUCUGAUCAUAGGACAGGUUGAGUCUACUACUAUUUCUGCCUUGCUUUGACUCGAAAUUCCUGGUGUUUUCUCCUGCAAAUGAAUAGAAAUCACAUCCUUUCUCUUUCUCCUAUACAAAGAAUACAAUUAACCUCAUUUCAAUAUCAUAGCUUUGGAAUUUCAUAGCUAACUCUUUGUUAUGUUGUUCCAUUGGUAAUUGAUUGUGCCUUAAUUUCUGCAGCUACCAUGACAGAGCCAGAGUCUUCUCGAUCUAGACCAGAAGGGGCCUAUGAUGUCUUCUUGAGUUUUAGAGGAGAAGACACUCGCAAGACAUUUACAGAUCAUCUAUAUAGUGCCUUAGUCCAAGCAGGAAUCCACGCUUUUCGAGAUGAUGAUGACCUUCCAAGAGGAGAAGAAAUCUCCGAUCAUCUCCUCAGGGCAAUUCAAGAAUCAAAGAUAUCCAUAGUUGUCUUCUCAAAAGGAUAUGCUUCUUCUAGAUGGUGUCUCAAUGAACUUGUAGAGAUUCUUGAGUGCAAAAAUAGAAAAACCGGUCAGAUUGUUCUUCCUAUAUUCUAUCACAUUGAUCCUUCAGAUGUGAGAAAACAGAAUGGCAGUUUUGCAGAAGCAUUUGCUAACAAUGAAGAGCGUUUUGAAGAGAAGUUGGUGAAGGAGUGGAGAAAAGCUCUUGAGGAGGCUGGAAAUCUAUCUGGAUGGAAUCUCAAUCAUAUGGCAAAUGGGUAUGCCUUUUUUUCUCUAAGAUUCUCUUGCACACAUUUAUGGAGUCAUUAUACUUUACAUUUUUCAAUGUGAAACAAUAAAAUACUUAAUUGACUCGCUAUUAAUGACUUGCUUUUGUCUAUGAGCAGGCAUGAAGCAAAAUUUAUCAAAGAGAUUAUCAAGGAUGUGUUGAAUAAAUUAGAUCCCAAGUACUUCUAUGUUCCUGAGCACCUAGUAGGUAUGGAUCGGCUUGCUCACAAUAUUUUUGACUUUCUAAGUACUGCAACAGAUCAUGUACGCAUUGUGGGCAUACACGGGAUGCCAGGAAUAGGAAAGACGACUAUAGCAAAAGUUGUAUUUAAUCAACUCUGCUAUGGAUUCGAGGGAAGCUGUUUUCUUUCGAAUAUCAAUGAAACAUCAAAACAAUUUAAUGGUCUGGCUCUUUUACAAAGGCAACUUCUUCAUGAUAUUUUAAAACAGGAUGCUGCAAACAUCAAUUGUGAUGAUAGAGGAAAGGUUCUGAUCAAAGAACGACUUCGUCGCAAAAGAGUUGUUGUGGUUGCUGAUGAUGUUGCUCAUCAGGACCAGCUAAAAGCUUUGAUGGGAGAGCGAAGCUGGUUUGGUCCCGGAAGUAUAGUAAUUAUUACAACAAGAGAUUCAAAUCUUCUUCGUGAAGCAGAUCAAACAUAUCCGAUCAAAGAAUUGACACGAGAUCAGUCCCUUCGGCUUUUCAGCUGGCAUGCCUUUAAGGACACCAAGCCAGCAGAAGCUUAUAUUGAGCUUUCGAAGGAUGCAGUUGAUUACUGUGGAGGACUUCCUUUAGCUCUUGAGGUUAUAGGAGCUUGUCUGUACGGGAAAAGCAAAGAUAGAUGGAAAAGUGAAAUUGACAACUUGAGCAGAAUUCCAGAAAACAAUAUUCAAGGAAAGCUUCUAAUAAGUUUUGACGCACUGGAUGGUGAGCUACAAAAUGCAUUCCUUGAUAUUGCAUGCUUCUUUACUGAUGUAGAGAAAGAAUACGUCGCAAAAGUGCUAGGAGCCCGUAGCUGUUACAAUCCAGAAGUUGUUUUGGAAACUCUCUGUGAAAGGUCUCUUAUUAAAGUAUUUGGAGAGAUGGUAACCAUGCAUGAUCUAUUACGAGAGAUGGGAAGGGAGGUCGUUCGUAAAGCGUCUCCCAAACAACCUGGAGAGAGGACCAGAAUUUGGAAUCAAGAGGAUGCGUGGAAUGUACUUGACCAGCAGAAGGUAAGAGCUCAAUGCAUACACGUAGCCAUGCGUAUUUUCUAGUCAAACUUAUUACAAAUAAUCAUAUGAAAGUUUUAUUGUUUUUUUUUUAGGGUACGGAUGCUAUAGAGGGUCUUGCACUGGAUAUGAGAGCAUCAGAAGCUAAAUCACUAAGCACAGGAUCAUUUGCAAAAAUGAAACGCUUAACUUUACUCCAAAUCAAUGGAGCACAUCUCACUGGAUCCUUCAAACUGCUUUCUAAAGAGUUGAUGUGGAUUUGUUGGCAUGAAUGUCCUUUAAAAUAUUUGCCAUCUGAUUUUACCUUAGAAAAUCUAGUUGUUCUUGAUAUACAGUACAGUAACCUCAAAGAACUAUGGAAGGGAGAAAAGGUAUGAAACAUUUUACAAUCCCCAACAUUUGUCCAGUACAUAAUUUAUAUUUACAUGUUAUGACUUUUUAUGAUUAAUUUCCAUUAUUUUGCUCUCUAUUACGACAGAUUCUCAACAAGCUAAAAAUCCUUGAUCUUAGUCAUUCUCAUAACCUUAUUAAAACACCAAACUUGCACAGUUCAAGUCUGGAGAAACUAAAGCUGGAAGGUUGCUCUAGUUUAGUUGAGGUGCAUCAAUCUGUUGGAAAUUUGAAGAGCCUCAUUUUCUUGAAUAUGGAGGGAUGUUGGAGCCUUAAGAUUCUUCCCGAAAGCAUUGGCAAUGUAAAGUCUCUUAAACGUUUGAAUAUUUCUGGGUGUUCACAACUUGAGAAAUUGCCAGAACACAUGGGUGAUAUGGAAUCCUUAACUGAGCUGCUAGCUGAUGGGAUUGAAAAUGAGCAAUUUCUCUCUUCAAUUGGACAAUUAAAAUAUGUCAGAAGGUUAUCAUUGCGUGGAUACAAUUUCCGUCAGGACUCACCAUCACCUACAUCCUGGGUUUCCCAAAUUUCAUCAUGGCUUUCACCGUCAUCUACAUAUUGGCCUCCAUCAAUUUCUUCUUUUAUUUCAGCAAGUGUUUUAUGUUUGAAACGUUCGUUGCCAACAUCUUUCAUCGAUUGGAGAUCAGUGAAACGUCUUAAGCUUCCUGAUGGUGGUUUGUCUGAUUGCUCAACUAACUGUGUUGAUUUUAGGGGUUUGUCCUCUCUAAAAGAAUUGGAUCUAUCAGGAAACAAAUUCUCUAGCCUGCCUUCUGGGAUCGGCUUCCUUCCCAAACUAAAGGUCUUGAUUGUUCAGGGAUGCAACAAUCUUGAAUCAAUAUCAGAUCUUCCCUCAAGUUUAUACACUUUGGGUGCAUCUUAUUGCAAAUCAUUGGAAAGAGUAAAAAUACCAAAGCAGUCAAAAAAAGAACUAUAUAUAGAACUACAUGAAAGUCAUUCGUUAGAAGAGAUUCAGAACAUCGAAGGUCAAAGUAAUAUUUUCUGGAAUAUGUAUGUUGAUGACCACAAUCAUUCAUCAAAUAACCUUAAGAAGAGCGUUGUCGAGGUACUAUUUUUUUCGGUCUCUCUUGCACAAGAAGAAACACACACAAUUGACACAUACAUUGAUUAAUGUCUAAAAUUUCAGCAUUCCUUGUAAUCAAUAUGUAUACAGGCAUUGUGCAACGGUGGUCACCGGUAUUAUAUUUACCCCUUUCCUGGUGAGAUGCCAAAUUGGUUGAGCUACAGCGGAGAAGGAUGCUCAUUGUCAUUCCAGAUACCUCCAGUCUUCCAAGGCUUAGUUGUUUGGGUUGCUCAUAAUUUCAAUUACUCAAUUGUUACUAUAAGAAAUAAAAGCAAUGGUAUUCAAUUGUUUGAAAAAAAACGAAUAGCAGGACCUGGGAGAUGGAUAAUUUACAUAAGUGAAAUGGCAAUGGAAGAUUACUGUGGAGAUGAUGAAUUGGAACUAUACAUAUAUUCAGAGCCCAACGGUGUUCCACUGCAACGCGUACACAUUAAAGAAUGUGGGGUCCAUGUGAUCGCAGGAAAAUCAGAUUCAUUUGAAGAGUUAGAAGUGAAAAGAGAUACAGUGAUGCCUUCACCACCACCAUAUCAUCUGCUUCCUCAUCCCCACUGUGGUUCAAUUACAGCGUCUACACCAAAGCAAUGGAGUGACUAUUUAUUUCCGAAGCUGCAAAAACAUAGCCUCAAUUUAACGCUUUGUGGUAAGAUGGAAUAUAUUUUAUCAUUUUUUAAUUUUUUAAUUUUUUAAUUUAUUAGAUUUAAUUUUUAUUAUUUUAAUUAUUAUUUAUUUUAUACGAGAUAAUUUAUAAAAUUAUUUUUUUUAAUUUCAUUUUCAUUCAACUUUUUAAUUUAUAAUAUUUUUUUCUUAUUAUUUUAAUAUACUUAAAAAAAUAUUAAUUAAUUAUUUCAGCUCAUUUUUCAUGACAUAACCAAACACUUCAAAGUAUUUUUCAAUUUAUUUUUUUAUAAAACUAUCAAACAUUAGAAAAUAAUUCACUUUUCAGAAAUUCAUUUUUUAGAAAAUCACUUUUCAGCAAACAAAAAAAGUCUUAAUUUAAAAAAUAAAUGUUAUUUUUAAUAAUUAGAUCUAUCAAAUAUCACUUAAUUAUAUCAUUAUUUUAUUGGUAGCAACUUCUGAGUCUUUUAAGCCAAAAAAAAAAAAAUAGUAGCUAGGAAAAGCUAAAAUCAGCCAGGAAUAUUUAGAGUCAGUUUGAUUUUAUUGUUUAUUCUUUGAUUUCUUGAUAAAAAUUUUAAAUUCUUGAAAACUUAUAUGUUUUGAUUUUAUUUCUUUUUAAAAAACAAAAGGCCAACAAUCACUAACAUAAUUUCUUAAAAUCACUUUAGUUUAUUUAGAAAAUAUUGAAAACUGAUCUUUGUUUCUUUACAUUAAAAUAAAAAAUUGAAUAAUAUUUUUAUAUUUUAUUUCAAAUUCGAUAUUGUAAAACAAAAAUGAAAAUGAUGUGAUAUUAACCUUUUUUGUUAUAAAGUAAGUUUCUUAAUUAAAAGUGAAGGGGAUUUGUUUGUAAUAACAAAAUGCAUAUACAAUCAUGCACGUUUAAUUUUCUUUCUAAACUUGGAAGUUCUAUUGAAUUUGAUGGUUUAUAGGGGUACCAAGGACGUAGAUGGAUGUGAGAGCAUAAGAUCAUUUUACAGAGAAAUGCUUGAAAAUACUCCAAAUCAGUACGAUACUUCUGUCCGAGUUGAAUUUGAAGAUCAUUUUCCAAACUUGAAAGUUCUAUUAAAUGCUCUUUGAAAUCUUUUCGAUCUGAUUUGAAAUUGGACACCCUAGUUGUUAUUAUCCAUGAUGUAAUUUAUAUUUUCAAAUUACAACUUUUGAUGAAAAAUAUUUCCUUCUUUUUCUCACUUGCCCGCCAUAUUCUCAACAAAAUGAAAAUCCUUGAUCUUAGUUAGAAACAAAUUGGUUUUCUAGGAAGAGAUUAUUUGUUGGGAUAUAUUAUUUGAGUUGAUUCUUCAUCAUUUGAUGUUAUGAUUUAAGAUAAUUAAUGAAAAUUACUGAUAUAUAGGAAUGUUCAGAAGGCAUCCUUAAUUGUUCUAAUAAGUAAGGUCUUGUUAGUUUUUCAAUGUAUUAUUACAUGGUUUUUACUACUUUUUGGCCUUUUUUUUUUGUAUAUAAAACUUUUGUUUUUCUUGCCGGUUUGUCAUUAGUUUUAUGACACUAACACCAAUUAAUAAUAAAUCUUAGACUAUUAUUAAACAAAGAAAAAACAACCUUUUUUUCAUUAAAAAAAAAGAAGCAACUUGGUAUUGCAAUAGUGCUAAAAAAAUUGAGAAUCAAAUUAAGAAUUUUAAAAAAAUUAAUUGUUUCAAUCUAUAAUGAUUUGUGAGAGAAUGCAUAAUGCAAAGUCAAGAGAAAAAACUCCACACAACUUUGAAACCCUUUGAUGUGUUGAUUGAAAUUGGCAAGUGAGUUUACUCAUCACAUAUUGUUAUAUUGGUUUUAAGUCCAAAUAGACAUUUAAAAAGGGAGUUUUUCAUGAAUGCAACUGUAAACCCCGGAAAAAUAAAAAUAAAUAAAGUUGCUUAAAUUGAAAACUAACUAUAUGAGAAAUAAAAGUGAAGAAAUUCAUGUGUAUGGUUAAAUAAAAGACAAGAAUUCAGAAAUUUAAAGGAAAUGGGGCCUAAAUGCAAAUAAGAGAAAAUAUAGAGUAUAAAUACUCUUUCCUCACCAAAAAUCUGCAGGAACCAAAAUGAGAGAAAAUAGGGAGUUUUAUACCCAUUAUUGCAAAAUCAAGAGAGAAACACUAAAAUUUCAAGAACCCAUCCAAGAUUAAGAGUUUAUAGAUGGGAUAAACACUUGUGAGCAAGUGAUUAACAAGAAAUUGAACAAGAAGAAAAGAAAGGAGGGAGUUGAAAAUCUUCAACUGGUUAAAGAUCAAAAUCUUGAUUCGUACCGGGUAAGGUGUUCUAAACAUGAUCUUAAAAAUUCAUUUCAAAUUUGAUAAUGAAUUGAUGCCUUGAUUUUGAAUCAUAGGUUAGGGUUCUUAGACAUGAAUUGAGGAAAAAGUACUUAUUGUUAAAAUUAAGUUAAUUCAUGUGUGUGGUAUGUAGUUUAUGAAAGUAUUAUGUGAAGGGGAGGGGGAGACGAAUCUGGACAGACUUGUCUCCUGAUUUUCGGUGAGAUUUCAGGUAGGAGGAUGAGGGAAUUAUGAUAGGAUUCCUCAUAGAAAUUGUAGAUUUGGAUGUUAGCUAACCAAGAAAACUGAUCUUAUUCAAUUUGGAGAUGUAGAACUCCAGUUAUGGGUUACCAACCGAGACUGAGUCGUGACUGAUUCUAUAGGGCUGUAGAACUGAUGGGUUGAUAAGCAAUUUAGACUAUCAUGUAGGCAGAACUGGGUUCUCCUUCCUUCAGAGAACUUGUAGCCUCAUGUCUUAUAACUAUUGGAUAGUAACAGUUCAAUGUCUAGAUAGUAAUAGUUGGACAGUAACAGUUCAAUGUCUAGACAGUAACAGUUCAAACAGCAAUCGUUGGACAACAACCGUUGGAUAACAACAGUUGGACAGUAACAGUUCAAUGUCUAGACAGUAACAGUUGGACUGUAACAGUUCAAACAGCAACAGUUGGACAGUAACAGUUCAAUGUCUAGACAGUAACAGUUGGACAGUAACAGUUCAAACAACAACUGUUGGACAGUAACAGUUCAAUGUCUAAACAGUAACAGUUUAAAGUUAGAUAGUAACAGUAGACUUUCACGUGAAUAUUAUAUGUAAUAAUAUAAAAGAAUUGAGUCAUACGAACACUUGCACAUUGAGAUACUAGCUUUGAAAAUAUAUCUGAUAUAUGUAUGUUUGUUAUUACGAGGAAAUGAACAUGCAUAGAAAGUAACAUAUGAGUAAUGAAUGAAUAUGGAUUCUCCAUAAUAUCGGCUUGAAGGAAUCAUAACCAAAAACUUCCUUUUGAUUCAAGAGGAGCAACCAGGAUUGGAUCUUCUAUUAGGGGAGGUCACGAGACAGGCGGAGCAGGUGCGUGAUUUUUCCCUCCUAUUUGCACUUAUACAAUUUAAAAUUAUUCUGGUGAAUGCAAUUAUAAUAAAUAUCGUGUUCAAUAUAAAUAAAGUCUAGCGUAUUUAUAAGAUUAGCUUCGGCUAAUGACAUCCAUGAUAGGAGUACUGGGAAAUGAAUUACAAGAUUUGCUCCGGCUAAUGACAUCUAUGAUAGGAUUGCCGGGAAAUGAAUUACAAGAAUAGCUCCAGCUAAUGGCAUCCGUGAUAGGAGUGCCGGGAUAUGAAUUACAAGAUUAGUUCCGGUUAAUGACAUCCAUGAUAGGACUGCCGGGAGAUGGAUUAUAAGAUUAGCUUCGACUAAUGGUAUCCAUGGUAUGAUUGCCGGGAAAUGGAUCACAAGAAUAGACUUUACAAGGUCACCCAGUUCAUGCAAGUAAAUAAGAGUAUUCAAAUUAAGAAUAUGCAAAUGAGUGUCAAUUGGGUUUAAAAGAUUUACAAGCAAAAUAUAAGUUGUCUGUUAGAAUUCUUAUGGAUCCGAUAGAAAAUUAAUACUUCUUCCAUAUACAUUACAUGAGCAAAUGUAUAUUUCUUUUAUCAAUAUAAUGAUAUGUUUAUUUAUGUAACAGGUCCAUCAAAUAUCCAGGGAGAUUAUUAGUUUAGAACUCUACUUUGUCAAGCUUAUGUAAAUAUUUAACUUAAACAAAAGGGAAUUAACGCAUUUAUGUAGUAUGGUUUUGUGUAAACCGAUGUAUUUAUAAAAGUUCAGCUUAGCAUGUAGUACUUUAGUUAUCUUGUAAUUAACCAUUUUGAAAUGUUUAAGAAUACUUAUUAUGUUGUAAAUGCUUUCUUUGCAUGUUAGUAUUCCUUUUUCUUUUAAAUUUUAUAAUAUGAUAUGUGGGAUAUGUUUAUAUUGAACUUACUCGUAGGAUAUAUAUAUAUAUAUAUAUAUAUAUAUAUAUAUAUAUAUAUAUAUUGUGUGGAUUGUAUGAGAUGUUAAAAUUAUGAUGAUUGAUAUAAGAUCCGGAAUUAUGGGACCUUGUGAUGAUGAGUUGAUUGAGUAAAUUAAUAGUAGUCGAUAACUUGGGAUGUCCUAAAUACAAACGAAACUCUGCCGAAUUUUUGGUAGAUUUAAAAAAAAAAUUACCCUCAAAUUAAGAGAAUAUGUUGGGAUCUUUUAGCAUUAAUCAAGUCGUACAGCCGUGCUGUUAUAACAACCCUUUAUAUAUUCAAUAGGAAUGAUGGGAGAUUUUAAUGUGUUGUGAAUGCAUUCAUUUAUAUAUGGAUGGUUUUGCUAAGAAUUGGUUGGUAAAAAACUUAAUUUCGUUAUAUAAAAACCGAAGAGAGAACAAUAAAUAACUAAGAAUUGAAGUGAAAAAAAUAAUUUGUGUGUAUAUGCUAAUUGAAAUGAAGAUUAAAAUAAAAAAGACAAAAAAAAAGGACUCGUUAAGAUUUUAUGUAAGUGUUCAACAUAUUUUUUCUUAUUUUAUUUUUUUUAAUUGGAUUACCUUUGUCUUUCAUGUCAAGUAAAAUUCUGGUAUAUAACACUAAAUUAAAAAAAAUAAGAGGUGAAUUAAAGGUCUAAAUAAAUCAACUACAUUUGAUAUACUCAACUCUCAGCAAAUUGAAAUUUCAAGGCUAUUCGUAUCUUGAAAACACAAUCUCAAUAAUCUUAAUGUGAGGAGUGAUUUCUUUUCUAUUAUUUUUUUUUCUUUGGAUCAAAAGGGUCUUAUUGAAUUAUUAUUUGUUAGGUAACUAAGAUUUGUUGAUGUGAAAAAUAGCACUAAGUUUUUGGCAUGGCCAUCGGUGUGAAAAAUAGCACUAAGUUUUUGGCAUGGCCAUCGGUGAGAAUCAAAAGCAGCAGCAAUCCAUCAGGAUCAUCAUCAUCCUAUCGCUUUGCCGUACUGUUUAUCUUCUUGGCAUUAUUCAAAGGAACGCAAAAGGACAUUCCAAGUGUGAAAGUGUAUUAUUGUCAUAAAGUUUUUCAAACUUCCAAUAUAGAGUGAAAUAAAGGGCAAAAGGAAACAACCCCCAUCUGUCUUGUUCCCAUUCCCUUCUUUACAUGGCUUACUCAAUGAAAAAGCAAACACCCCAUUUGAUUUUCAAUCAGUAUGAGAGUGAGAAAGAGAGAGGCCAAGGUGGUCAUUGAAUAUUUUGUUCUUUUAUGUCUCGCUCAAUGGGGCAAACCAUCUUUUUUCAAAAUUUUGAAUAGCAUGCCAUCAAAAAGAAUUUUGUUCAAUCCCAAUCCCACAUUGUCUGUAGAACUAUUUACUUUUGACUGUACACUUUGUUAUUUUCCAAUCCCUCCCCAGUUCUGCAACCAUUUCUCUACUUUCUAUGCUCUUGGCUUGCUAGAAACUAAAGAAAACACAUUGCUCUAGUUGCCUGCCUUCACUCUUCAGAUUGCUCAACAAAUCCCUUGAGACCUUCUCCAUAGUUAACACAUCACAUAAUGGCUACUCUAAAAAAUUUAGCCAUAAACAUUGAACACCUUAAGCAAUCAACGUGCCUUCCUUCACAAUAUGCAUCACCCAUAAAUCUUUCUUUUGGGAUGU